UACGAAGGGGGCGAGCGUUGUUCGGAUUUACUGGGCGUAAAGGGCGCGUAGGCGGCUUUGGUAGUCAGGCGUGAAAGCCCCGGGCUUAACCUGGGAAUUGCGUUUGAUACUCUGAGGCUGGAGUACGGGAGAGGAGAGUGGAAUUCCCAGUGUAGAGGUGAAAUUCGUAGAUAUUGGGAAGAACACCGGUGGCGAAGGCGGCUCUCUGGACCGUAACUGACGCUGAUGCGCGAAAGCGUGGGGAGCAAACAGG
rnacentral:rRNA from 1 species